UACGUAGGGGGCAAGCGUUGUCCGGAAUUAUUGGGCGUAAAGAGCUCGUAGGCGGCUCAGUAAGUCGGGUGUGAAACCCCCAGGCUCAACCUGGGGACGCCACCCGAUACUGCUGUGGCUAGAGUCCAGUAGGGGAGUGUGGAAUUCCCGGUGUAGCGGUGAAAUGCGCAGAUAUCGGGAGGAACACCAGCGGCGAAGGCGGCACUCUGGGCAUUACCUGACGCUGAGGAGCGAAAGUGUGGGGAGCGAACAGG
rnacentral:rRNA from 1 species